rnacentral:rRNA from 1 species
AAAGGUUCAAUCCGCUGAAAGAUAAAUCUGUUUAAGAUUAGGUUGUUGGUAAUUUAAAAGCUUACCAAGCCAAUGAUCUUUAGUUGGUCUGAGAGGAUGAUCAACCACACUGGAACUGAAACAAGGUCCAGGCUAAUACGUUGGCCAGCAGUGGGGGAUAUUGGACAAUGAACGAAAGUUUGAUCCAGCAAUACUAACUGGGUGACGACGGCUUAUUUAAGUUGUAAGAUCCUUUAAUUGAAGAAGAUAAUGACACUAUUUAAUUGAAUUAGUCCUGGCUAAUACUCGUGCCAGCAGCCGCGGUAAUACGGGAAGGGCAAGCGUUAUCCGGCAUGACUGGGCGUAAAGAGUCCGUAGACUGUAAAAUAAGUUUUUUGUUAAAUUUUAAGACCUAAUCUUAACAUAGCAACUAAUACUAUUUUACUGUGAGUCUAAUACAGAAAAGUAGAAUUUUAUACGAAAGAGGUGAAAUUUGCAGAUAUAUAAAGGAAUGCCAAAAGCGAAGGCAACUUUUUAGUAUAGACUGACGUUGAGGGACGAAAGCGUGGGUAGCAAACGGGAUUAGAGACCCCGGUAGUCCACGCCGUAAAUUCUGAGUGCU